AGUGUAUGGCGCUGUUGUCUGC
rnacentral:siRNA from 1 species